CCUGUGUGGAGUUUUUGUGGCAAGCCUCAACAUUGGGGAGUAUCCAUCUUGACUGAAAGCCUCAGCACUGGAAAAGGCUGGAGGCCGCAUGGAGACAACUGGAAAGUUAAAUCUGGGUUGUGGUGGGAGUACUUACAACAUGUAGAACACGGGUCCAAGCAGUCAAGCAAGCUGUUCUAGCCAGACCUAGGAUCUGAACUACAGGAUGUAUGCUGCUUCCCAUGCUUCUUGAUCCAGGAGCUCUGAACUGACUCAAAGCUGUGCUCAUGGGACUCAUGGCCAAGUUGCAGAUCCCAGCUGAGGGACAGAAAGGGUUAUGAUUUAUGACUUCAAUCCAAUUUAUGGCCAUUUACAAGAAUGCUGAACUGGCUGUAAAUCAGUAAGAGACCAUAAAAUACUCAUGAGAGCUGCUGAAAUCCAUCUGGGUGAGCUUCCUUCCCUCCCAAGAGCAGCCAGAUGAGGGCAGGAAGAUGUAGGCCUCCCAUCAAGCCUCGCAGCAGCAAUAGGGCGUGGGGAUGUGAUGAAGUGCUUGGAUGGAGGAAAGGGCAAAGGCAAAGAAGGCUUGUUUUGAGGGCAUGUGAAAGGCAGAUGAGCCGUUGCCGAAGAACUGCUCUGCAAGACUUCAAUGGAGGAGUUUCACCCAAAAGCAAGGCCCACCUGGAUUCCAUAGCAGCCAGUGAUUUUCUGAAGGAUUGCGGGGGCAAUAUAAAGAGAAAAAUGGCAACAGACUACUCCACUUCUAAUGACAUCAUGUGAUUUGAAUCUGACGCUGGUGGGACACUUUGAGGAGCUACCAUCAAUUCCUUCAAAUCCUUCUUUCUCCUUGCCUUCCCUCUGGGCUCAGAAUACUGGGCUGAAAAAAAACCACACAAAAAGAUACCACAGAAGUAGCUAUUGCCCAGGAACUGAGCAGGAAAUCCUUCAUUUCCACCUCUAGCCCUGGAAUAUUAUCUGACAAGCACAAGAAAAAUAAGGUGAGUUAAAAUUACUCCUUUACUAAUUAGCGAGAUUUUCAAAGUUACAUAAUCCACACGACCUCCAGUGAGUCUGUAAAUAUGCUGGAGAGCUUCCACGGUUUCCAAAGUGAACUGAAGCACUGUCUACAUCAAUGUAAUUACAUCAAUACAGUGCCCAUUUUCUUAAUGUGGAAAGUGCUUUGCUGUCCUUUCAGGAUGAAUUUUGCAUAAAGAUCUUCCUUGAGGGAAAGCACAACAAAUGUGGAGUUUGUAGACUUAGGUGACAUAGUUUGUUUUCUUCUGUUCUGUGAGAAACAUUUGAAGAUUUUUAAAAGAAACUAGAAAAAAACCUUUUGUUACUUUUUACAAGACUUCUAAAAAGGUUUUCCAAAUGACAUGUAAUUUUCCCCUAGAAGCAUUUUCCUCUGACAACUGAUCUAGUCAUGCUGCAUUUCAGGAAGAAAAGGUGUUUAUUGAGAAACUCAGACACAAUUAAAAAUUGAAAUGCGAAUGGAAAAUCACCGUUCUACCUUGAACAUUCUGAGUCACCAUAUGUGUAGGUUCUCUAUAUUACCUGCAGGGUAGAGAAGAUUUUGCCUGUCACUUCUUCAGAGGCUAUAAGGGAGGAUUCAGAAAUAUGAAGCAUUAGGAUCUAGUGCAUUCCAGUUUUACUUCUCCUCCAGGACUUGUGCUACAAAAGAGAGGUACAGCCAGAACAUGGCCCUGCCACCUGAACAUGCUAGAGCUGGGAUUGACAGGCAGAGCAGGCUUUGGUUAAAUGAUUAUGUUUUUUGGUAAUCAUCUGACCUCUAAAUCAUAAGGUACUUGCAUUCACACAGCAUGAACCAGAGAGCAGUAAAACAUGUUUCCACUGUCAUUCUUUCAUAGGUAGGUGAGCAGCUCUGACAUGAAACUGUCUUUGAUAUUAUUGAUAACAGAGGGUGUUGUGGAAGAUGUUUAUUUUUUCAGCAAUCCCAGCAAAUGGUGCUGAUUAUUGUGAACUGAACCAUAGUAAACUGUUAGCUACCGUUCCUGGAAAGCGUUAUGCUCUCCUUGUUUUCCCUCUUGCAGCUCACUAUCAGCUCAUCUUCACUUAGUGAAGAGUUGGUGAAGGUCAUAUUUUUCCAAAAGAGAUUGUUUCCAGUUGCAUUCAAGUUGUUAGGUAUUUCCUUCCUCCCUUUCUCAAUUUCAAAACAAGUGAACAUCAUACCUCUAAGAUCACUGACUAUGAUAGCUUGAACUGGACUCUUCCAGGUAUGCCUGAGUGGCCUGUUUUUCACGGUCAUUCAUAUCUGUCAACUUAGAUAACAGUAUAAAAAAACUUCUUGAAUAGUUUUUGUGUUGUAGUAACCAAAGAAUAUAUGCCAGACGUUCCUCCAGA